rnacentral:rRNA from 1 species
UUGGGGGGUAAAGGCCUCACAAGGGGAAGUUUUGUAGGGGUCUGAAGAGGUGAUCCGCCACACUGGGACUGAGACACGGCCCAGAUUCCUACGGGAGGCAGCAGUGGGGAAUAUUGGACAAUGGGGGAACCCUGAUCCAGCCAUGCCGCGUGUGUGAAGAAGGCCUUAUGGUUGUAAAGCACUUUAAGCGAGGAGGAGGCUACUUUAGUUAAUACCUAGAGAUAGUGGACGUUACUCGCAGAAUAAGCACCGGCUAACUCUGUGCCAGCAGCCGCGGUAAUACAGAGGGUGCGAGCGUUAAUCGGAUUUACUGGGCGUAAAGCGUGCGUAGGCGGCUUAUUAAGUCGGAUGUGAAAUCCCCGAGCUUAACUUGGGAAUUGCAUUCGAUACUGGUGAGCUAGAGUAUGGGAGAGGAUGGUAGAAUUCCAGGUGUAGCGGUGAAAUGCGUAGAGAUCUGGAGGAAUACCGAUGGCGAAGGCAGCCAUCUGGCCUAAUACUGACGCUGAGGUACGAAAGCAUGGGGAGCAAACAGGAUUAGAUACCCUGGUAGUCCAUGCCGUAAACGAUGUCUACUAGCCGUUGGGGCCUUUGAGGCUUUAGUGGCGCAGCUAACGCGAUAAGUAGACCGCCUGGGGAGUACGGUCGCAAGACUAAAACUCAAAUGAAUUGACGGGGGCCCGCACAAGCGGUGGAGCAUGUGGUUUAAUUCGAUGCAACGCGAAGAACCUUACCUGGCCUUGACAUACUAGAAACUUUCCAGAGAUGGAUUGGUGCCUUCGGGAAUCUAGAUACAGGUGCUGCAUGGCUGUCGUCAGCUCGUGUCGUGAGAUGUUGGGUUAAGUCCCGCAACGAGCGCAACCCUUUUCCUUACUUGCCAGCAUUUCGGAUGGGAACUUUAAGGAUACUGCCAGUGACAAACUGGAGGAAGGCGGGGACGACGUCAAGUCAUCAUGGCCCUUACGGCCAGGGCUACACACGUGCUACAAUGGUCGGUACAAAGGGUUGCUACACAGCGAUGUGAUGCUAAUCUCAAAAAGCCGAUCGUAGUCCGGAUUGGAGUCUGCAACUCGACUCCAUGAAGUCGGAAUCGCUAGUAAUCGCGGAUCAGAAUGCCGCGGUGAAUACGUUCCCGGGCCUUGUACACACCGCCCGUCACACCAUGGGAGUUUGUUGCACCAGAAGUAGCUAGCCUAACUGCAAAGAGGGCGGUUACCACGGUGUGGCCGCAUGACUGGGGUGGAAAGGUACGU